UUUACAAAAUUAACACUUCAAACAAAUUAUGCAAAUAUAUGAGAUUGAUUUUUAAAAAAAAAAAUUAUUACAUACAAUACAAUUUGGUAAUAUUUUCUAAGUUACACAGUCUAUUCAUUUGAUUUGACCUAAAUCCCCUGGACUAUAUUUGUGAAGUGAUUUUGCCACAUGUCGUUUAUACAAUCAAUUUCACAAAACAAAUAUGACAUGGCUACUGAAAUUGAUGACAUGUCUUAUAACUUAAUAUGACAUGGACAAUUGCAUUUAAUGUUAAUUUAUAUUUUUGGUAAAUUUUUUAAAAUAUAGUAUUAACUCAUAUAUUACAUUUAAUGUCAAUUUAUAUUGGGCAAAUCUCCAAAAUAGCACCUUUCUAAGUUUAUAUCACAAAAAUAGCACUCAAAAACUAAAAUGACCAAAAUAGCAUCUUUCUAAGUUUCUCCUUUGAAAAUUUUAAUUUUUUUAUUUUUCAAAAUUUGAAAUC
rnacentral:lncRNA from 1 species